rnacentral:rRNA from 1 species
CCCAACCGGGAUUGCCUUAGUAACGGCGAGUGAAGCGGCAAAAGCUCAAAUUUGAAAUCUGGUACCUUCGGUGCCCGAGUUGUAAUUUGGAGAGGGCAACUUUGGGGCCGUUCCUUGUCUAUGUUCCUUGGAACAGGACGUCAUAGAGGGUGAGAAUCCCGUGUGGCGAGGAGUGCGGUUCUUUGUAAAGUGCCUUCGAAGAGUCGAGUUGUUUGGGAAUGCAGCUCUAAGUGGGUGGUAAAUUCCAUCUAAAGCUAAAUAUUGGCGAGAGACCGAUAGCGAACAAGUACAGUGAUGGAAAGAUGAAAAGAACUUUGAAAAGAGAGUGAAAAAGUACGUGAAAUUGUUGAAAGGGAAGGGCAUUUGAUCAGACAUGGUGUUUUGUGCCCUCUGCUCCUUGUGGGUAGGGGAAUCUCGCAUUUCACUGGGCCAGCAUCAGUUUUGGUGGCAGGAUAAAUCCAUAGGAAUGUAGCUUGCCUCGGUAAGUAUUAUAGCCUGUGGGAAUACUGCCAGCUGGGACUGAGGACUGCGACGUAAGUCAAGGAUGCUGGCAUAAUGGUUAUAUGCCGCCCGUCUUGAAACACGGACCUCCUGUGUGAGUGGACCCCCCUAAA